rnacentral:rRNA from 1 species
UACGUAGGGCGCAAGCGUUAUCCGGAAUUAUUGGGCGUAAAGAGCUCGUAGGCGGUUUGUCGCGUCUGCCGUGAAAGUCCGGGGCUCAACUCCGGAUCUGCGGUGGUACGGGCAGACUAGAGUGAUGUAGGGGAGACUGGAAUUCCUGGUGUAGCGGUGAAAUGCGCAGAUAUCAGGAGGAACACCGGUGGCGAAGGCGGGUCUCUGGACGGCUCCUGACACUGAGGCACGAAAGCUGGGGGAGCAAACAGG